CAAAAAUAACGAAACUUUUGGGAUUGCAACAAUGGAAAAUCAAGUACAAUAUGAAAAAAGCUGGAUUAAGAUCACGAAAAUUUUCCGAAAUAACAAACUCGCAUUUAGAUUGCAUAGUCCGUGGUAUAAUCAGGCUGUUUCCCGACUCUGGAUUCAAAAACUUUGUUGGGAAAUACAAAAUCAGUGGGCCAAAAGUUAGUCUACACAGAUCGAGAGAAUCAUUUUGUAGAGUGAAGGACUUACGGAGGGAUCCUCCAAGAAGGACAAUCAAGAGGAGGGUAUAGAGCGUGAAACAUCUUCUCUCUCUUUGAUGGAAGUUUUACGUCCAAGGUUGCGUUGAUGGAUAUUCGAGGUUAAUGGUGGUUCUUAACUUAUCAUCCAACAAUCGAGCUGCAACAACCUUAAACCUUUUUUCUGGCGCUGUUGUGAAAUGGGGUUUACCAUUACG